rnacentral:rRNA from 1 species
UACGUAGGGUGCAAGCGUUGUCCGGAAUUAUUGGGCGUAAAGGGCUCGUAGGCGGUUUGUCGCGUCGGGAGUGAAAACCCAGGGCUUAACCCUGGGCUGGCUUCCGAUACGGGCAGACUAGAGGUAUGCAGGGGAGAACGGAAUUCCUGGUGUAGCGGUGAAAUGCGCAGAUAUCAGGAAGAACACCCGUGGCGAAGGCGGCUCUCUGGGACGGUACUGACGCUGAGACGCGAAAGCGUGGGGAGCGAACAGG